rnacentral:lncRNA from 1 species
UGGCUGAGGGACGGUAAGCGCAUCUCGCUGUCGGACCCCGCGUACGGCCACACGUUCUUCACCUCAGACACGGAGCUCACGUUCAGUAUCCAGGUGGCGUCGCUGAGGGAGGACGCUACCUUCUCUUGCUUCCUGCCUGCCGCCCCGCACUCUCGCAAAGAUUGGCUUGUUAGAGUCCCUGUCGACAGCGUUGAUGCCUUGACUGCCACUCCGUCUCCGGACGCGGUGCAGUACGGACAGCUUGUGUCCCUCUCCUGUACAGCAUCUGGUCAUCCUGGACAAGUGGUGUGGCUGAAAGAUGGGGCGAUAUUGAGAGCAUCUGUCGA